GUCUGGCAUAGAUCUCCCUUGAGUCGUUCCAGCGAGAAUCUAGCCAAUAUCAUUUGUUCCUACAUGAAGGACAAUCACCGGAUUCUUUCCCACUCCGUUAGGAUCCUUUCAGCCUCAACCAGGAUGGUAGUUAA